rnacentral:rRNA from 1 species
AGUGAACGCUGGCGGUAGGCCUAACACAUGCAAGUCGAACGGCAGCACAGAGGAGCUUGCUCCUCGGGUGGCGAGUGGCGGACGGGUGAGGAACACAUCGGAAUCUACUCUGUCGUGGGGGAUAACGUAGGGAAACUUACGCUAAUACCGCAUACGACCUACGGGUGAAAGCAGGGGACCUUCGGGCCUUGCGCGAUUGAAUGAGCCGAUGUCAGAUUAGGUAGUUGGUGGGGUAAAGGCCUACCAAGCCGACGAUCUGUAGCUGGUCUGAGAGGACGACCAGCCACACUGGGACUGAGACACGGCCCAGACUCCUACGGGAGGCAGCAGUGGGGAAUUUUGGACAAUGGGGGCAACCCUGAUCCAGCCAUUCCGCGUGAGUGAAGAAGGCCUUCGGGUUGUAAAGCUCUUUUGUCCGGAACGAAACGGUUAGGUCUAAUACGCCUGACUACUGACGGUACCGGAAGAAUAAGCACCGGCUAACUACGUGCCAGCCGCCGCGGUAA